UAAAGAUUUUAAGGGCGUACGGUGGAUGCCUUGGCGAUAUCAGCCGAAGAAGGACGCGGUAAGCUGCGAUAAGCUACGGAGAGGUGCAAGCAACCUUUGACCCGUAGAUUUCCGAAUGGGGGAACCCGGCAGUGGUUAUGCACUGUCACCCAUACCUUUGAGUAUGAGGAGGGCACCUGGGGAACUGAAACAUCUAAUUACCCAGAGGAAGAGUAAUCAAACGAGAUUUUCUUAGUAGCGGCGAGCGAACGGGAAAGAGGCCAAACCGGAGCGGGCAACCGCACCGGGGUUGAGGACAGUCAUCAAGUGUAAAUGAGGUAGAAGAAUCGAGUUGGAAAGCUCAGCCGCAGAAGGUGAAAGCCCUGUAAUCGAAACCUUGCAUACACGGGACUGUAUCCAGAGUACCACGAGACACGUGAAACCUUGUGGGAAGCAGGGGGGACCACCCUCCAAGCCAAAAUACUGAUAUCGACCGAUAGCGCAUAGUACCGUGAGGGAAAGGUGAAAAGAACCCCUGGCGGGGAGUGAAAGAGAACCUGAAACCGUAUGUCUACAAACAGUCGAAGUCUGUAUAUAUAUCAGGACGACGGCGUGCCUAUUGAAGAAUGAACCGACGAGUUACUGUUGCUAGCGAGGUUAAGUGGAAAACAUGGAGCCGCAGCGAAAGCGAGUCUGAACAGGGCGUUCAGUUAGUAAUAGUAGACCCGAAACCGUAGUGAUCUAUCCAUGGCCAGGUUGAAGCACAGGUAAAAUUGUGUGGAGGACCGAACUCGUGAGCGUUGAAAAGCUUUGGGAUGAGUUGUGGAUAGGGGUGAAAUGCCAAUCGAACACGGAGAUAGCUGGUUCUCCCCGAAAUAGCUUUAGGGCUAGCCUCGAGGUUGAGAGUAUAGGCGGUAGAGCACUGAUCGGGCUAGGGGCCAUACCGGUUACCGAACCUAGUCAAACUACGAAUGGCUAUACUUAUACUCGGGAGUCAGACAGUGAAUGAUAAGGUCCAUUGUCAAGAGGGAAACAGCCCAGAACACCGACUAAGGUCCCCAAUGUUACACUAAGUGGCGAAGGAUGUGGAAUUUCCAAAACAACCAGGAUGUUGGCUUAGAAGCAGCCACCAUUUAAAGAGUGCGUAAUAGCUCACUGGUCGAGAGACUCUGCGCCGAAAAUGUCCGGGGCUAAAGUGUAAAACCGAAGUCGUGUCAUAUGCAGCAAUGUAUAUGGGUAGGGGAGCGUUCUCAUCGGGCUGAAGCAGUACCGUAAGGAGUUGUGGACUGAUGAGAAGUGAGAAUGUCGGUAUGAGUAGCGAAAAGAAUGGUGAGAAUCCAUUCCACCGAAAGCCUAAGGGUUCCUGAGCAACGAUCGUCGUCUCAGGGUAAGUCGGGACCUAAGCCGAGGCGGAAAAGCGUAGGCGAUGGACAACAGGUUGAAAUUCCUGUACCGGUGUGAAUCGUUUGAUCGAUGGAGUGACACAGUAAGGUAGGUCAGCACGCGAUUGGAAGAGCGUGUUUAAGCAGGUAGGUUGAGCUAUAGGCAAAUCCGUAGCUCUAAAAGCUGAGAUGUGAUGACGAGUGACUAGCAAUAGUCGCGAAGUGAUUGAUCCUACACUGUCGAGAAAAGCUUCUAGGUAGAGACACAUCGCCCGUACCAAAACCGACACAGGUAGGCGGGGAGAGAAUCCUAAGGUGCGCGGGAAAACCCUCGUUAAGGAACUCGGCAAAAUGCCUCCGUAACUUCGGGAAAAGGAGGACUCAUGUAGUGUGAAGAGCAGAAGCGCUUGGAGCAUGAAUGAGUGGCACAAGAGAGGCGCAAGCGACUGUUUACCACAAACACAGGUGCCUGCUAAAGCGAAAGCUGAUGUAUAGGUGCUGACACCUGCCCGGUGCUGGAAGGUUAAGAGGAGGGGUUAGACUUCGGUCGAAGCUCUGAAUUGAAGCCCCAGUAAACGGCGGCCGUAACUAUAACGGUCCUAAGGUAGCGAAAUUCCUUGUCGGGU
rnacentral:rRNA from 1 species